GGGACUUGUCUGCAUAUCCAGCACAGGAAGAAUGCAGAGCAGCUGGAGCAGGUCCAGAGGAGUGCCAUGAAAGGUGCUCAGAGGGCUGGAGUACCUCUCCUAGGGGAAGAGGUUGAGGGAGCUGGGCUUUUUCAGCCUGGAGAAGAGAAGGCUGCAGGGAGACCUCAUUGUGGCCUUCCAGUACCUGAAGGGAGCUUACAGGCAGGGGGGGGACUGACUUUUUACACUGACUGAUGGUGAUAGGACAAAGGGGAAUGGCUUUAACCUAAAGAAGGGAGAUUCAGGUUAAAUGUUGGGAAGAAAUUCUUCACUCAGAGGGUGGUGAGACCUGGGCACCCUGAUCUGGUGAGGGGCUUUAAGGUCCCUUCCAGCUAAACCAUGCUAUGAUUGUCUCAGUUCAAAUGGGAACAGCUUUGAGCUGCAGUUCUUCCUGAGUUGUUCUUGCUGCAGGAAACCCCGAGUAUCUAGAAGUGCAAUCCUUCCCCCCGAGGAGAUCACAGGGCCUGGCCUGCAGCCCGGCCCAGUUCUGCCUGUUCCUCUUUCCUUAGCGCCUUGCUCCCCUUGCAUGAGUUUUUGCAUGGGAGGAGAGGUUUGCUCUUCUGCUCCAGGCUUAGCUUGUGCUGCACCUCGAGGAGACCUCAUUGAGACCUGCUGCACCGUCUGUGCACAAACACCCCCUCUUUUGGGGGGAGGCUGAUCCGGCCCAGCCGCAUGAUCGCAGUCAGGUGACGACAUUGAGCACGGAAGCGGUGCGGGAUAAGCAGCUCAGUGAGGGAGAUCAGCUGCUGUCCCGGCCCCUCCGCGAGCUGUUCGUGCUCAGGGAAAAUGAGCACCUGGCCCCCUUCUCUGCUCUGGAGCUUGACCACGGCAUGUCUGACAGGUAUUGCUUUAGGCCAGACAGCCACCACCCAGGCCCCUGUUGCAUCAACCCCGCUACUUCUGAGUGCAGCUACCACCCAAGUCCCCGUUCCACCAAUCCCUAUUGCCACUGCAACCUCAGCUCCCACAUCCCCAUCUGCUGCUGGGAUGCUCUCAGCAAGAACGGUGACAAAUCUCACCACCCCUACAGUUGUGCCAUCUGCUGUCUCAAGCACAAACCCUCCCACUCCAGCUCUGCCCACCACCCCACGCAUCGCCGUGCUCACCUCUGGGACUGCAACCACCCCUCAUGCACCCACAGCACUAAUGGCCACAUCCAGCAGUGCCUGGGCUAGCCCUCCAGAUGUAACUGCAUCUCCUGGGGUCCCAUCAGCGAUCCCACCCCUCAGCACCACUGAGCCCUCAAACUGCAGCAGAGUGAAUGUGACAGCAUGUACUCCUUGCUCCCCAGGGACCAUUCCCAGCAAUGACACCUGGAGCUGCUCGUGCUGCUCAGAGGGCUCAUGUGUGGACCCUGGUGCCUGUGCUCCUUGCCCGGCGGGGCACUACCACCCUGUGAGGGGACAGCAGCAGUGCCUGCCGUGUCCAAAGGGACAUUACACCAACACUACCAACAGCACCGUGUGCUCACCCUGCCCACCUGGCCACUAUGCCAACGAGUCAGGGGCCACAGCCUGCAGCGUGUGCCAGAAAGGUUAUUUUAGCUCACAGCAAAAUGCAGCUUUUUGUCUGCCUUGCCUGCCUGGAUCGUUCUGCAACACCACCAGCUGCACUCUGUGUCUGGCCUGUCCUGCUGGGCGUGAGGCUCCACAUGAGGCUGCUGAGGGGUGUACGCUGUGCCGGGCAGGUACGUUCAAAGGUCUGAGUGAUGACGCCUGCAAGCCCUGCAAGCCAGGGGAAUACCAACUGCAGUGGGGCCAAGAGAGCUGUGACCUGUGCCCAGAGAACCACUACUGCCCCAGCCCAGAUGUGAACCCUAUCAAGUGCCCUCCUGAUGCCUUCUGCCUCGUGGGCAGCACCGCGCCCCAGUACUGCAUGGAGGUCUUCCUGUACAAGGUGGGCAGCUCCUGCCAGCUGACGCCACUGGUGAUAGUCCUCCUGGCCCUCUUCUCAGCAGGUGCAAUUCUUAUAAUCUUUGUACUAAUUCUGAGAAGAAGGCAAGAAUACAGCACAAAGUCUUUGAAGUCCCUGUUGCUACCACGAGGAUCAGAGCAGCACACAACGUAUGGAGUGAUGGAGCACACAGAGCCCGUGUAUGCUGGCUGGUAG
ensembl:lncRNA